GACAAAUUCCACUGGGUACUGAUUCAGCAAACUUGCAGCUUGUGUCUCCACAAAUGAUGAGAUUUCGUAGCUUCUAUCACGCUCUGAAACAAAUGUAGAAUAUUUUUAAGUCAAGCAAAGGAAUACCGGUACAUGUUCCCACCCGACUGCAGCUGACCAGGUCACCCCCUGGGGCCCCGGAUGUUGUUGAUUGACGUAUGUGUGGAUGAACAUGCACAUGAUGGAGGAACACAACAACUCACUCUCUGAUACAUCAAAGGCGUGGAAAUGCACUGGUUGUAUGUAGUUGACGAGGAGUGACAUCUCCAUGGCAGCCUCAGCUUCCUUGCCUGCUGUACCCUGGGAAACAUUAAAUAAUGCAACAUCAUCAGUAUCUUCCUCUUCAUCAGUUCUGGAGAUGGGAGGUGAACGCUGGGGUCCAGCUGAAACAACAACUUGACUUUUAAACUCCUUCACACCCAUGAACAUGUGGAUGACAAACCAAGGUUAAUAAUUUGAAGGAAUCAAGAGCACAAGCUAAAAUGGCUUUCAGUGCCAAAUUCAGUUUAGAUCAGUUCAAUAUACAGGUGAGAACAUUGAACACAGUGUGGUCCUCUUCUAACUAAGAGUCUAUGGACCCUGUCAGCAUGUGUUGACAUCCAGGUGAGAGAUGGCUGUUGGUGUACAUACCAUCUAUACUCAUACUUACAGGUGUUUUAUAUACACAGCAAUGAUACUGAGGAAUGUAUCAGAUUAAGUAUCCCCAAGACUGGGUCAACCAAGAUUUGUACAUCUUCUCAAUUUAAUGUGUGUUUUUAUUACAGAAAAUAUAAGUAUUAAAACUAAAACAGACAAGAAACAUCCCCCCCCCACCCCUAAAUCCUAAAAACAUCAUCAGUUUAACAGAUGAGCCUUCCUUCCUUCCUUCCUCCAGUCUGGUGGCACAGUGCUGACUACCCUGCCUGAGGUGGUGGAUAAAGGGAAGUAAUUCUCAGUUCACGGACAUUUUUCAUGACUACUUCUGGGAUAGGAAAA